CCUACGGGAGGCAGCAGUGGGGAAUAUUGGACAAUGGGGGAAACCCUGAUGCAGCGACGCCGCGUGAGUGAAGAAGUAAUUCGUUAUGUAAAGCUCUAUUAGCAGGGAAGAAAAUGACGGUACCUGAGUAAGAAGCCGCGGCUAACUACGUGCCAGCAGCCGCGGUAAUACGUAGGGGGCAAGCGUUAUCCGGCUUUACUGGGUGUAAAGGGAGCGUAGACGGCAGUGAAAGUCUGGAGUGAAAAGCGCGGGCUCAACCCCCGGACUGCUCUUGAAACUGUGCGGCUGGAGUGCAGGAGAGGUAAGUGGAAUUCCUGGUGUAGCGGUGAAAUGCGUAGAUAUAAGGAGGAACACCAGUGGCGAAGGCGGCUUACUGGACUGUAACUGACGUUGAGGCGCGAAAGCGUGGGGAGCAAACAGGAUUAGAUACCCGGGUAGUC
rnacentral:rRNA from 1 species